rnacentral:rRNA from 1 species
CCCCUAGUAAUAGCGAAUGAAAUGGGAAUUGCCCAUCGCCUAACUGCAGGUCAUCUUGGCCUUGCGGAAUGUGGCGUUCGGGAUAGUCUCAUCGGUAUCUGGACAGCCAGUCAAAGUCCAACUUGACAGUGGCCACUGCCCAAAGAGGGUGAUAGGCCCGUAAGGCAGCUGUCUGAUUCCGCUGACUUCUCCCUAGAGUCGGGUUGCUUGGGAGUGCAGCCCAAAGUGCGAGGUAAACUCCUUGUAAGGCUAAAUAUGACCCUGAGACCGAUAGCAAACAAGUACCGUGAGGGAAGAUUGAAAAGAACUUUGAAGAGAGAGUUCAACAGUACGUGAAACUGUGUGGUGGUAAACGGAGGGGUUCUCGAAGUUGCUGUGGGGAAGUCAACCUAGGUGUUGGGCGGUCCUGUUGUAGCUGAUCAGCAAUGACUGCCUACUUCAGCCUAUCCCAGCUCUUGGGUGCAUUUUCCCCGCCGCUUACGGCAGGAACUGUUUGGCCUGGACCGAAGGCUGCAGGUGGAGCUGUCGCUUAUGGUGGCAACCCUGUGUGCCCUGGCUCCAUGCCCGGCAGGUAUGUGAGGGGACUCGUAUAGUGAGCAAUGCUCUGUUGCUGUUCCCAUCUCUCUGCUGAGUAGGUCGGUGGCCCCUCUGACCCGUCUUGAAACACGGACCAAGGAGUCUAACAUGUAUGCAAGCCAUUGGGUUGGCUAAACCUAGUGACACAGUGAAAGCAAAGAGUAGCUUGUCUGCUCGAGGGAUGAUCCGUAAGGUGCAGUCCCGCGACUUCCAAUCAACCUUGCAUUGUUGGGAG